CAAAAAAUUAUAGGUCAAAGUCACUUAUUUUCAAAUUUGAUGAUCACAGAUUACUUUUUUAGUUACACAAAUAUCAAAUUUCAAGGUCACAGAUUAAUAAUCAAUCACAAGAGGCAAUAAUUAAUCAUAGACACCAAACACCCUAUCUUGAUACACCACAAUACUUGGUCACAAAUAUUAUCCCUGACCACAACACCAUCACAACCACUACCAACAUCACCGCCACUCCAAACCGCCAACAACACGACCAACCACGACCAAGUCACGCCAAUUGCAGUGUUGUUCUCACCAAACCACACAGCAAGUCACCCACCAAAGUCAGCAACACCACCCACACCGCCAUCAUCUUCAUCAACAAUUCCAAAGCCCCUAACCAGUCCACAAUCUUACAGAUCUUGGAAGUAUCUGCUCCGUACAACACUCUUGCUUGCGCUACGAGCAGUGGUUCCUCUGCUGGCAUCGUUACUCUUGCUCGCGACUAUGGAUGGUGCUCAGUGUUAUGCGACGGAGGGGUUUCAUUUUCACUGCAAGGCGCAAUUGCUGCCGUUUUCGCCUUAGUAAGCCAGUGAACGAUCAUAACCGUGAUUUCGACGGUGAUCUCUGGUAGUGGGAAGGGCCAUCAGCGAUGUGGGUUAAGUGGGGAGAGAGAGGAGAGAAAUGAAUCUAAUUCUAGCGUUUAGAAUAAAAUUGGAAUGAAAUAGGGUUGAAUUAUUUUAUAUUAAUAUUAAUAAUAUUAAUAAUUAAACCAAUACCUGAAUUUUGAAUAAAAAGC
rnacentral:lncRNA from 1 species